rnacentral:lncRNA from 1 species
GCUGCUGUUUGGCAAAGGUCUGGCAUCUCCUCCCUGCUCGGCUCUGCAGGAGCAUCUGCUGCUGGAUACUGGCCACGGUUCCCUGCACCUCCCACGUCCUCCUUUUGCAGACCCUCCUCGGCGCCGAUCCCCUCCUGCAGGACCUCUCCUGGGAUCCCCACGUCGGCACCUGCUGCUGCAGGGGGAGGAGACGGAGGCAGGCUCAGGGUCAGCACUUCCUGGCAGCACGUGG